rnacentral:misc_RNA from 1 species
GUGAAUCAUCAAAUUUUUGAACGCAAAUUGCACUCUCUGGUAUUCCGGAGAGUAUGCCUGUUUGAGGGUCAGUUUAAAUAAAAAUCGUGUCGUUUGCGGCCUUUCGUGGUAACGCACCGGAUUGGGGUGUUCUAGCUUUGGUUUAGGUGACUUAAAAUUUUGCAUGAUUUUUUUCGGUCUUUUUUUAAUUUAUGUACGUUCGUUAUCUAUAACA